CCCAGGGGCAACUCUGUUUCUAAGGAGCUCUGACUAUAAAAAGGUCCAGAGUUCAGGUCACAGUCAGGUGUCUUAAUAGAACAGUACCUCCAACGUUGAUCCAUCGUUGACUUGAAGAGAGAGACCAAUCUAUACAAAAUGGCCAUUCUUAAGUUUGUGUUUAUGUUUUUGCUGGUUGCUCUAGUUUCAAUUAAUCUCGCACAAGGACAAAAUGAUACUGUCUCUACAACCACCGAUCCUUCGAAUGGUGGUGUUCAGCUCUUCCAUCUGUCUUGGAUGACACUGCUGUCAGUAGUCAUGGCACGAGUCCUCAACUAUGUCAAUUAAAAACCGGACUCCAAAGACAAGAUAGCUCUUAAAACUUGUAACUUUUUUUUUUCUAUUUCAGUUAACGUAAACUUGUUUUUUGCAAUCACAAAAAAAUAAAGGAAUAUUUUUUAAUUAGCUUCGAAGCACUAAAACAGAAGUCCAAGUAACACAGUCAAUUGUAUCUAACAUUAGAAUCAAUAAUUUUAAUAAUGUAAUACCACAUCGAUGUAGCUUGACAGCAAUACUGGCUAAGUUCAAAGACUACAUAGAUAUUGCAAGCUAUGUGUACUAUAGUAAUAUAUCAACUUCCAUGGUCUUAUUUCUUUCCAAAGUGAAAAGUAUACAUGUAAUGGACUCUACUAUGAUUCAGAUAACAACAUAACAUUAAAACUAGACAAAGAUCUAAAUUUAAAUAAAGCGUGUCUGUUGGAAUUAAUAUAAGAAUUGAUCUGAUAUUAAAUUAUUUAAAACAUAAUAAUCACAGUUGAUUUUGGUCAAAACAAUGUCCGUCCUUUAAUAUGUCUGUUUUACAAGGGGAGAUAACGAUUUGAUAACAUGAAUCUGGUAGAGGCGCGAUCAUGUGACUUAUAUCACGUGAUAUUAUUUGUACCCUAUUCAAAAUGUCGGUGGUUAUUAUUUUUAAAAAUGUAUUUUAAAUAUGUAUACUAUAUUUAUAUUGUUUAAAACAAAAACCUUUGCCAAAUGUUUGAUUAAAAAGACUAUUCAGAACAUGUUAUGUAAUUUACCGACUGGACAUUUCCUUCAAACUGCUUAGAACUAUGUUAAAAAUUAAAGAUGUAUGUGUCCGUAAUUGUGUCCCCUACUAGAGGAAUUCAUACGUGAUUCUUUCCCUUGCUAAUUUUGUAAAGUGUUGAACAUUAAUAUUAUACUUAUUAAAAUCGUUUAACUUACAA